rnacentral:sRNA from 1 species
UGACACUCCAGUUUUCAUGGAAGUAUGGAAAUAGGUAAUUUUAUGGGGUGUAGCUAGUUAGUUUCUGAUUCGCUUGACAACUAACACAGCGAUUUAGGAUGAGUUGUCCCUCCUUCAGGACGAGGACAAUUUCCUAAACAUGUUACCCCUCCUUUCUUACUCUCCAGACAGGAUUAGUUCUUGGCUUGCGCUUUUCCUACCUAGCUUGAAGCCAGGAAGGCUCCCUGGGGCUUGAGCCUUGCCCCUGCUAAUUGCAAGCUUGGACCCAAACCGGCCUGUUUAAUUAAGCGCCAGAGAUCUGGUGACGAGAGGGAGAAUCGAUGCACCGACAGUGACC